rnacentral:rRNA from 1 species
UACGUAGGGUGCAAGCGUUGUCCGGAAUUAUUGGGCGUAAAGAGCUUGUAGGCGGUUUGUCGCGUCUGCUGUGAAAGCCCAUGGCUUAACUGUGGGUCUGCGGUGGAUACGGGCAGGCUGGAGGCUGGUAGGGGCAAGCGGAAUUCCUGGUGUAGCGGUGAAAUGCGCAGAUAUCAGGAGGAACACCGGUGGCGAAGGCGGCUUGCUGGGCCAGUUCUGACGCUGAGGAGCGAAAGCGUGGGGAGCAAACAGG